AAGGUAGCCAAAUGCCUCGU
rnacentral:ncRNA from 3 species